AUUGAACGCUGGCGGCAGGCCUAACACAUGCAAGUCGAACGGUAACAGGAAGAAGCUUGCUUCUUUGCUGACGAGUGGCGGACGGGUGAGUAAUGUCUGGGAAACUGCCUGAUGGAGGGGGAUAACUACGGGAAACGGUAGCUAAUACCGCAUAACGUCGCAAGACCAAAGAGGGGGACCUUCGGGCCUCUUGCCAUCGGAUGUGCCCAGAUGGGAUUAGCUAGUAGGUGGGGUAACGGCUCACCUAGGCGACGAUCCCUAGCUGGUCUGAGAGGAUGACCAGCCACACUGGAACUGAGACACGGUCCAGACUCCUACGGGAGGCAGCAGUGGGGAAUAUUGCACAAUGGGCGCAAGCCUGAUGCAGCCAUGCCGCGUGUAUGAAGAAGGCCUUCGGGUUGUAAAGUACUUUCAGCGGGGAGGAAGGGAGUAAAGUUAAUACCUUUGCUCAUUGACGUUACCCGCAGAAGAAGCACCGGCUAACUCCGUG
rnacentral:rRNA from 1 species